ensembl:lincRNA
CAGCAGCUGGGCAGGGCAUUGUGAACUGUGGGAUAGGGCAGCCGGGUGGGGCAUUGUGAGCCACAUGCCUGGGAUCCCCUGGGUCAGUGGGCUUCAGUCUGGAGGUGAUUGCAGAAGGAGGAGCAGCUCCCUUUGUUGUCUCUUCAGGCAGUUGUAGUGUCUCUUCAGUGUUUGUUGGGUUCACAACCUAUUUAAAAGCCAGCUGGUCUUCACCCUCCCAGACAAGUCAGCUCAAGGGAGGCGGUGGGGUGCAGGCCUUGGCCUGAGCCCCACCCAAGGCUGAGCUGUGGGGCAGGCAGGAGAGCAGGAGGCAAGACCAUCUCUGCAGGCGCAGUGAAGCCCUGGCCUAGAGCAGCAGGUGUGAGAGGCCAAACCUGCAAGCUAAGGCACAGGUAGUGGCAGAGAGGAGUAGAGGCCCCCCAUGGGGAACACAUUGAACUGCUGUGUGUGCCCCAAGUGGGGCUGGCACCGGGGGCGUGUGUGGCCCUGUGAGCCUGAGAUCUGUGAGGCAGUAAAUGGGAACACAUUGAACUGCUGUGUGUGCCCCAAGUGGGGCUGGCACCGGGGGCGUGUGUGGCCCUGUGAGCCUGAGAUCUGUGAGGCAGUAACUGGGAACACAACGCCAGUAGCACCAGUGCCUGCUGCUGUAGAGCCUACUGAAUUUGCUUUUGAAGCUGUUGAGAGCCUCCAUGUACACCACAUCCAUGACCAAGAGAUGCCAGAAGAUAGAGCUUUGGAGCCAAACCCUUCUGAUGAUCCAAGGGCAAGCACAAUCUUCUUGCAAAAAUCUCAAACAUAUGUUCAAGAAAAGAGAAAGAGCAACCACAUGAACCAUGUAUCUACUAAGCAUUUUACUAAAAAGUACAGCUCGUGUUCAACCAUAUACCUAGAUGACAGCACAGCCAGCCAGCCUCAUCUUACAACCAUAGUAAAAUCCAAGAAAAGAUGCCAAAGGAAUACUUUGAGUAUGUUCCUGAACACAAGUUUAUUUACAGAUUUGUCCAUGUUCUUUUUAAAGCCACAAACCUAA